CAAAAUGACAACAACCAUAAUAAGCUGACGAGAUCUUCAGUUGAGUAAGUUAAUUGCUUAAUAUUUUUAAACUUUUAAUUCAGAUACAGACUAACUGAUGAGGGAGGGGAUCGAUAUUGCCAAAGCAUUGGGAAUUACCAAAUCAACAGACUCGAGAACAAAACUCUUAUCAAGAAAAGCAAACUGUUUGGAACUCUUAAAAAAGACUACUGAUCAAGAAGAUAAUAGUUCUGAUAUUUUGAAAAUUCCAACAUUCACCCUGUCCAACAACUUCCAUAUGCUGCUGACUGCGUAAAUAUUAAUUACAAUAAACAGUUUGGCAGGCACAUGAUUGCAACUCGUAAUAUUUAACCAGAUGAAGUGGUUAUUAAUAAGACUGGCUCUGUUGUAUUUCCUAGUGGAAACCAGAUGUAUCGCAACUGUUCUCACUAUCUGAGUUUAGCUUGAAAUGGAAUUCCUUGUGAUUUCUGUGCUUUUGCUAUUUUUUGCAAUAAAACAUUCAAAAAAGAAGCUUGGAAUGCAUAUCACAAUACUGAAUGUUGCAUAAUGUCACAUGUUUUUUUAAAGCAGACAGAUAAAUCAAUUUAAACCCAUGUCAUGAUUACAACGAAAAUAUUUAUAAAAACAAUUAAAAGAGAGGGUCUAAAAAAUAUUUUAAGUAUUGCUGAAUCUAUAGAUAAAAAAGUAUCAGAUAAUUAAAGAUGACAAUCGUUCUGUUGAUGGAAAAAAUAAUAACCUAACCUUAAUAAAAUAUUUAUGCCGAAAGGAAAAUUGUAAUGAUGACUAUACUUCCUGUUAAAAAGGGUGAACAGCUGUAUUGUCCUUAUAGACCAAAUUUACAUGAAGAGAAAGAUGAGAGACAAUCAUAUUUACAAGCUCAUUAUUUCUUUAAUUUUGAAUGCCAAACUUGCAAAAAUAAUUGGACAUUAAAAAGCUUACAAAAAUUGAUCAGAAAUCUUUAUAAUAAAUGUCGGCUAUUAUACUACUAACUAUAAAUUAUUUAACAUACAACAAAACAAUAAACUGUUUGGUAAAACACAUUUAGAAAAUGAUGAAGAAUAAAAAAAUGAACGCUUUGUUAUCCGGGACACUUAUCAAUCUUACAAUGUAUUACAACGAAGUAAACAAAGCAAAACUUGCCUGUUCUGUAUUUCAAAGAUUGCCAUAUAAACCAACUGACAUAACAUAU